GCAGGAACUGCAGCAUCUUGCCCAUGUCGUUGCAGGCGUUGUCCCGGGCCUCCUCCAUGCGCUGGGCAUUCUCCGGGGAGCCGAAGGCCUUGAUGACCUCGGCCAGGACCACUAGGGCAGAGGCACAGCAGAUGCUGAGAUAUAAAUGCCCAGGACCCAACUUUGAUGGAAGGACAUCCCUCCAGGUCUCUCUGUGUAGCCCAGCCAUCAAACUUCCCCUACUCCCACCCCCAGCACCUCAUCUCCCAACUUAGGCAGUAGGAGACAUCAGGAGGUCAAGGAGUCUGGGAGCUGCAGCCAAGACACUGCCCACAUCAGCACCCAGUAAGAUAAGAGCAGCCAUGUGAUGCUGAGUGUGCCCGCUAGCCUCUCUCUGGUGUGCUUGCAUUUUCAGGAGCUGAAACACAUUGGUCCAAAAGGAUAAAGACUUAAAACUUAAAAAAAAAAUUGUAUAGAGUGUUCUAUGCUAUUA